rnacentral:lncRNA from 1 species
GAAUAGUGUUUUAAGUCAAGAAAACAGUAUAUAGCAAAGUUUCUGUGAUAGUGGAGGUCAAGGAGUAUAAUAUGUAUUAAAAAUUUUGCAGGCCGGGUGCGGUGGCCCACGCCUGUAAUCCCAGCACUCUGGGAGGCCGAGGCAGGGAGAUCACCUGAGGUCAGGAGUUCGAGACCAGCCUGGCCAACAUGGUGAAACCCUGUCUCUAUUAAAAAUACAAAAAUUAGCCAGGCAUGGUGGCGGGCACCUAUACUUCCAGCUACUUGGGAGGCUGACACAGGAGGACUGCUUGAACCCGGGAAUUGGAAGUUGCAAUGAGCCAAGACUGCGCCAUUGCACUCCAGCCUGGGCAACAAGAGUGAAACUCCAUCUCAAAACAACAACAACAACAACAAAUUUUGCAGCUGGUCUGAGUGCAGUGGUGUUUACAACUAAUUGAUCACAACCAGUUACAGAUUUCUUUGUUCCUUCUCCACUCCCACUGCUUCACUUGACUAACCUUUGAAAAACAUGAGCUUUUGCUCUAAUAUGUUAUAUAGGUGUGGCUGGGGUUAGAAGGGCUCUAGAUAGACUGGUUAGGAGGUUAUUAAAUUAGACAAAGUUUGGCUGAAUGAUAUGGAGAAGAUGGAAGACACUGGAGAGUUCUGACAGAAUUGAGGGAUGGUGUGGGCAUGGAGGAGAGAGAGAGCUGUCAUGGAUGACUUCUGCCUUUCAGGCUUGUUCAACCAGAUGACUAGCUCACUGGGAUACGGGACCAUAGAAACCAAGUUAGGAGUAUCAGUGAGUGUGGGGAGUGGGGAGAGCAUGAACUCAUGUUAAGUUUGGAUGGCUUUGAGAAUCCCAGGAGGACAAGGCAAGUUGUGAGUUGUAUAAUCGAGUUUGAAACCUGAGGACACAGAGCCUUGCACUGGAGAUAUAAAUUUGUGAGUCCUCUCUGUGUGGAUGGUGAUGAAGAAAUUGAAUAGAGCACCUGGGAAGAUAAUAUUUUAUAAUGAAUUUAAAUAAAUGUUUUUGCUUUCCUUUGAGGAUGUGUCUUUUAAGCUUUGUCUCCAAGUACAGCAUAUAUCACUUUGAUUCCUGAUCAAGGUCUUUCAGGUUUUAGAGCAGGUGGAUAAACUCAUGAACCUGGGCAGAAAUGUCCCUAAAAUUAUACCACAUAAUUCAAUCCUGCUGGGCUUGUUUAAAAGUUAACUGAAAAGACAUGAAAGUUUUUGGUGUGUGUGUGUGUGUGUGUGUGUGUGUGUGUGUGUGUUUUGCAAGUGGCGGGUGGUGCAGGGGAAACAGGGUUUCGCUUUGUCACCUAGGCUGGAGUGCAGUGACGUGAACAUGGCUCACUGCAACCUUGACCUCUUUGGCUCAAGAAAUCCUCUGCCUCAGCUUCCUGUGUAGCUGGGACCGCAGGUGCACAUCACCACACCCAGCUAAUUCUUUUUUUAUUUUUUUCGUAGAGAUGGGCUCUUGCUGUGUUGCCUAGGCUGGUCUCGAACUCCUGACCUCAAGCAAUUCACUCGCUUUGGCCUCCCAAAGUGCUGGGAUUACAGGCAUGAGCCACUAUGUCCAGCCUGAAAGAUAUUUUUUUGAAUAUUUAGGAAAAAUCAAAUUUAGCUGUCUGCUUGGGAGGCAGAUAGUAUGCAUGGAGAGAAG